rnacentral:lncRNA from 1 species
CCUCCCUUGUAAUAGGCUUCAUUAUCUCCUAUUGUUAACUGAAGAAUUAUGUAUUUCAGUAAGCAAAAGUCUCGUAUUUGCAACAAAGACAGAUCGAGAAUUUAUUUUUUUUUCUUCAACGGAAAAUUGAGCACCAACUUAGCUUAGUAACAAUAUAUACAAAGAACCCAUUUUUAGGGGUUCUACAAUAAAAUUUUAACAUACCCAUAAAGCUACAAACGAGUAAUCAUAUACCUAAAUGUAAGACAACAACAAUCAAGGACCAAAUAAAGGUUCUGAGAAUAGAAGAAGUGAGGCUCAGCGAACCGACAUUACAAAUCCAAGGAAAUCAAUGGCGAAUCCACAGCUUUGAGAACCAGAAAUCGAUUCAACCCAAACCCAUCCUCAAAGCAAAACCAGAAUAAAAAAAUGCUAAAAAACAUUUUUUUUGCUUUUCUCUGAUUUUUUUUAAAUAUGUAACUCAAACGAGGAAACAAACUCAGACCAUUUUUCCUUGUGUAUCUUUCAUAGAAAAAAUGACAAAGAAUACAGAAGAAGAAAAUAAAACUUGAAUGCAAAUGACGAGUAGAAAAACCUAGAUAUUGACUGAGUUUUCUGCAAGUUUUCUCCGAUUUUUUCUCUAUAUUUCUCUGACCUAGCACGUAGGACUCACCUCAUAUACAUAGUCUUCAAAAUCUUGAAAAAAUCCGCAAAAAAAUCCAAAAAUCCUUCACGUUUUUGAACAAUUUUAGGACAAAUGGAGGGCGUGGAUUGAUUCACAUAUAUCAACGGCUCCCAUUCGUCCAACAAUUGUCCUUUUGAAUUCAAAAUUGUGCGAUUUUGGAGAGAAAAUUCGUACUACCCUCUGACAAAUCCGUUAGGAAUCAAAUGAUGUGGAGAGGGGGGAGGGGGCGUUUUGAGGGAACUCGGGUGAGUUCCAGGAGAGUUGAGGUGAGUUCAACGGUGAAGAAGAUAAACAGUAGAGUGGGCGCCGUUUCUUUGACUUCUCUAGGGUUAGGGAAUUUGGGGGAAAUAUUAUAAGGAGGGUUUUAUAUUAGGAAGAAUGGAGCGG